UGGGGGAUAUUGCACAAUGGGCGAAAGCCUGAUGCAGCGACGCCGCGUGGGGGAUGAAGGCCUUCGGGUUGUAAACUUCUUUUGCUCUGAACAAGGCAUGCCUUUGGGGUGUGUUGAGUGUAGGGGUUGAUUAGCGCCGGCUAACUACGUGCCAGCAGCCGCGGUAAUACGUAGGGCGCGAGCGUUGUCCGGAAUUAUUGGGCGUAAAGGGCUUGUAGGUGGCUGGUUGCGUCUGUCGUGAAAGCUCAUGGCUUAACUGUGGGUUUGCGGUGGGUACGGGCUGGCUUGAGUGCAGUAGGGGAGGCUGGAAUUCCUGGUGUAGCGGUGGAAUGCGCAGAUAUCAGGAGGACUACCGGUGGCGAAGGCGGGUCUCUGGGCUGUUACUGACGCUGAGGAGCGAAAGCGUGGGGAGCGAACAGG
rnacentral:rRNA from 1 species